GCAGAGAGAGGAUCUGGGUUCUUCACAAGGAGAAAACUAGAACUUCAGCCAAACCUGAAAGAUCUGGAUUUGGUUACCAUCAGCCUUUGUUAGCAGAAAGGCAGUGACGGAGCCCCGAUGAAACGCUGGCAUCCAAACACAGCUGGUGACAUGCCUGGAUGGACACAUUUCAAAUAGAUCCAACAAAGCGGUUGUUUUCUAUCCGCCCACAUGGAAAGUGUAUUAGCAUCUCUCAAGGAUCACAGAGCUUGUGUCCUGUGAGGCAUGUGAGAAGCGCAGGUAGGGGAGAGAUGCGCUCUGACCCCGGGACAGAGGGCAGAGUGGGACGCAUCUGCUCGACGGGACGUGAUGUGACGGACGAUGAGAGAGAAGACUGCUCUGUGAAGAUAACACAGCGUCCUGUGGAGAG